AGCGGCAUGGAUGCCGCUCAAGCUGAAUAGAUGCGACGUUUCGACGUCAGGCGAAACUCGUAAGUCAAAAGUGUACACGGAGGUGCACUUUUGACGACGA
rnacentral:sRNA from 1 species